rnacentral:rRNA from 1 species
ACCUUUUGCAUAAUGGGUCACCGAGUUAACAUUAGAUGCAAGUAUCUUAAUAUUAGAUUAAGCAUACGUAGAUAAACCGAGCGUUAAAAUAACGGAAUAGUAUCUAAAGUUAGACCCGAAGCCUGGUGAUUUUACCACAAUCAGGAUUAUAAAAGUCCGAACGGGUUAUUGUUGCAUAAAUAUCCGAAGAAUUGUGGUAGGUAUAGUGAAAGACAACACUGACUAGGAAUAGCUGGUUUUCUGCGAAACCUAUGAUAGUAGGCAAUUUAAAUAAAUAUCUUAGCAGGU